rnacentral:rRNA from 1 species
AAACAACGCUGGCGGCACCUUAACAUUACAAGUCGAACGGAUCCUUCGGGAUUAUUGGCGGACGGGUAGUACGGAACGUGCCCUUUGGUUCGGAACAACUCAGGGAAACUUGAGCUAAUACCGGAUGUGCCCUUCGGGGGAAAGAUUUAUCGCCAUUGGAGCGGCCCGCGUCUGAUUAGCUAGUUGGUGGGGUAAAGGCCCACCAAUGCGACGAUCAGUAGCUGGUCUGAGAGGAUGAUCAGCCACAUUGGGACUGAGACACGGUCCAUACUCCUACGGGAGGCAGCAGUGGGGAAUCUUGCGCAAUGGGCGACAGCCUGACGCAGACAUGCCGCGUGAAUGAUGAAGGUCUUAGGAUUGUAAAAUUCUUUCACCGCGUGACGAUAAUGACGGUACCCGGAGAAGAAGCCCCGGCUAACUUCGUGCCAGCAGCCGCGGUAAUACGAAGGGUGCUAGCGUUGCUCGGAAUAACUGGGCGGUAAGGGAGCGUACGCGGCUGUCAAUUAAAG